CAUUCUAACCUCGACCCGUGAUCCGGGCCAGGGACAUUGUCAGGUGGGCAGUUUGACUGGGGCGGUCGCCUCCUAAACAGUAACGGAGGCGCCCAAAGGUUCCCUCAGAAUGGUUGGAAAUCAUUCGCAGAGUGCAAAGGCAGAAGGGAGCUUGACUGCGAGACCUACAAGUCGAGCAGGGACGAAAGUCGGGCUUAGUGAUCCGGCGGUGCCGUAUGGAAGGGCCGUCGCUCAACGGAUAAAAGCUACCCUGGG
rnacentral:rRNA from 1 species